CCUACGGGGGGCUGCAGUGGGGAAUAUUGGACAAUGGGCGAAAGCCUGAUCCAGCCAUGCCGCGUGUGUGAAGAAGGCCUUCGGGUUGUAAAGCACUUUCAGUGGGGAAGAAAGCCUUGGGGCUAAUACCCUCGAGGAAGGACAUCACCCACAGAAGAAGCACCGGCUAACUCCGUGCCAGCAGCCGCGGUAAUACGGAGGGUGCGAGCGUUAAUCGGAAUUACUGGGCGUAAAGCGCGCGUAGGCGGUCUGAUAAGCCGGUUGUGAAAGCCCCGGGCUCAACCUGGGAACGGCAUCCGGAACUGGCAGGCUAGAGUGCAGGAGAGGAAGGUAGAAUUCCCGGUGGAGCGGUGAAAUGCGUAGAGAUCGGGAGGAAUACCAGUGGCGAAGGCGGCCUUCUGGACUGACACUGACGCUGAGGUGCGAAAGCGUGGGUAGCAAACAGGAUUAGAUACCCGUGUAGUC
rnacentral:rRNA from 1 species